GAUGAAGAACGUAGUGAAAUGCGAUAAGUAAUGUGAAUUGCAGAAUUCAGUGAAUCAUCGAAUCUUUGAACGCACAUUGCGCCCGCCAGUAUUCUGGCGGGCAUGCCUGUUCGAGCGUCAUUUCAACCAUCAAGCCCCAGGCUUGUGUUGGGGUCCUGCGGCUGCCGCAGGCCCUGAAAAACAGUGGCGGGCUCGCUGUCACACCGAGCGUAGUAAUACAUCUCGCUUUGGACGUGCGGCGGGUUCUUGCCGUUAAACACCCCCCUUCUCAAGGUUGACCUCGGAUCAGGUAGGAAUACCCGCUGAACUUAAGCAUAUCAAUAAGCGGAGGA
rnacentral:misc_RNA from 1 species